UAGGGAAUAUUGGACAAUGGGCGAAAGCCUGAUCCAGCAAUGCCGCGUGAGUGAUGAAGGCCUUAGGGUUGUAAAGCUCUUUUACCCGAGAUGAUAAUGACAGUAUCGGGAGAAUAAGCUCCGGNUAACUCCGUGCC
rnacentral:rRNA from 1 species